UGGGUUGCUAACUCAAUGGCUACUCCAUCCGACUAGUU
rnacentral:tRNA from 3 species